rnacentral:misc_RNA from 1 species
CGACGAUUCAAAAAACCAGAAGAAUCUCGGUGGGAAAUUGAGCUUCCCACAGAUGUUAUGUAGGACAUCGGUGAAGAUCUGAGUGCCAGGAGGCUGCAUGGGUGGGGAGGUCGCUGAAAAGUUGAAGGCGAUCGCGGUUGCUGCUAACAACAAUAAGCCAAGGAAUGGAGAAGACAUGGCAGUGGGAGCAGCGAAGGUACUGCUACAUUACUCUACUGAACCUUUUGCCGUUUACAGAGGAGGAUCAACGGGGUUUGCAGACUGCAGAUGAAACGAAGCCGUUGUUUCGAAGUUCUUGUAACAGGAGCGACCUGAAAAGUUCAUCCAGCCAGAAGACGAGACUGUAGCAUCGGGUAUCAGAGGGCGAUACGACCGACCGACUGAGAAGAGCCGCGCCAAGACGGCGGAGAAACGGAACCGAGAGGCAAAAAAUAGAAGAAGAAGAAGCGAACGAAGGGGCUGUCGAAGAGGGAGCUCGGAAAAGCACGGGGACGGAGCUGGGAACGAUCGCUGUCGAAAUAAAAACCCUGGAAAAUUACGUCAUGGGCCCGGCACCCCACAGUCAACUCCACUGAGCGAUGC